UGGAGGAGGGGGGGCUGGAGCAGAAGGUCAGACAAUCAAAUGUGUCCCUCGCGGUUUGGGUCUGGCUCUGACUUGUUUGUAAUAAAAACAUUUGGCUUGCCUUCUAUGGGAGCCGAGCAUGAUGUAAACGGUGAAGGACUUACAUUCCUGAUUGUCCUCCUGGGGACUUCCUGACAAGGGGGUGGAGCUGAGUAGCUCCUGGAAUCAUCUACCCCCAAGACAUCAUAUUGAGAGUUUGAAUUAUGCAAAUAAUUCAGAUGCUACAAUGAAAGCUCUAAAUAUACCUUAAACCCACAAACAAUUUACUUGUCUCCAGGUCUAUGGACUGUGUCCCUUUAAAUGUACUUUCCAUUCCUGGUUGUACUGUAAUCAGCAGAUGGCCCUCCCUCCCCUUCCCUCCUUCCUCCUCCCUUAAAACAGACCCUUCUAAUAGCUAGCAUCCUGCAGUGACCAAAGCCAUUAGAAGGAUUAGGCCAUUACUAUCCUGUCCAGCACACACACAAUGCUCCAGGGACUGCCUUUCUUCCUCUUUGCUUGAUGUUUUUUGUGGAUGAAAUCAGGGUUGAAAAAUCAAAAAAUGAGGAGGGCAGAAGGUGAUAGUCACCUCCCAAAUAGCUUUUCCUAUUUGAGAUUCCUUUGUUAAGGUGACAGCAGAUGUCAUCCUUGUGGUUUAUAAAGCAGGCACUGAAAGCUCGCGGACAGGUUACAGACCUCUGUUCCUCGUUACCAUAACACUGAAGGCUCAUCCUUUCCCAAACACAAGAGCGAAUCUGUUCUCUCCUGCUCGCCCACUGUUGUUUGUGCUGGAAAGAACCUGGGCCCAGCCCAGAGCCACGUUGCAGGGCUCAGGACUGCUCUGAAACACUGCCACCAAGUGGCGUGAUGAGGUACGACAAUUACGCAGUAAGGGCAACAGUACUCCAGGCUUUAGAAGCUCAAAGGAGAGGGGUGGCAAAAAAUCAGGCACAAAGACAGUAGCCGGCUUGGACAUGGCUAAAUAGUGCAGGCGACAGGAAAAAGGGGCGGCGGGGGGCGGGGGAGCUGGAGCGUGAAGAGAGAAAUUAAAAGCAAUGAAUUGGUAGGCGUGAGCAGUUUUCCCUGGAAGCUGGAGAUGCAGGCAGGAUGAGCUUCGAGUCAGCCUCUGUUUGGAUGGCUUAGUCUGGCUUGCAUCUGGAUUCUUUUUUAUUUUUUUUUCAUUUUUAAAAUUUUUUUUCUUUUCAUUUUACAUUCCAACCACAGUUCUCCCUCCCUCCCCUCCUCCCAGAACCUCCCUCCCCCGCCUCCUCCCACAUAGGUCUUCAGUCAAGGGUAUACGCAGUAGCUGCUCCCUUCUAGAACCUCCAAGUGUCUGGAUUCUUAAGGAUCCCGGAGCUCUGUUGAGUUCAGGAAGUCACCGUGCCUCUGUUUCCUUGCUUUGUGGGCUGAGUUAGACCUCUUAAGUUUCCCUUCAGUUGAAACAUUGUAUGGAUUUGUUGUUGAGAAAUGCAAUACAGAUUGCAUACAGUUGGCAAUCCCCAAAUCGUUUGUGUGACGUCUGGUUGCUGUACCGGGAGACUUAAAAACCUCCAUCUUGCUCGUCUUCAGCAUCCUGUAGCUCAAGACUCCUCGGGAAAGUGUAGAAGAGGGCCCCCCAGGAUGUGGUAACUGCUAUCAAGCUUCCCAGUACCAGCUGAGGAGAGCCAGCUCCCGGAGACCUGGAAACUUGUAGUAUUUCAGGGCACCGGAGCUGUUGGGUAGUGGGAGCAUUGGUAAGGAACUGGUAUGGAGUGAAGCUGGACUCUCAGAACACUGAAGCAACACCGGAACCUAAUGGGUUAGCAAUUGAGUAGACCACUCUUUUCUGUAAGAUUCACAUCUUAAAAGAAAACUUUCUGUUAGAAGGCUCCCAAGAAAUCAGAUACUGUUAGCUGGAAUGCAAGAAUGUGGGCAAAUAGGAAAAUUCCUAGGUCCCCCAACCCUGUCUGAUGAUUCUUACCCUUUGUCACUUCUUGGGAAAAAUCCUAUGUGAUGGCUGUUUUAAACACUGGUCCUGGAGAAGAUGCGGGCUCCGGCUCUGAAGAAACCCAUGUUACAUUUCCUCCUCCAUUUAGGAUUUGAUGGUCCUGCUUAUCUAGAGUGCUCACAUUGUGAACACCGUGGCGGGCUGGGGAUUUUAAUUCUGCCUUGAUGGAAUUUGAACCUAAACAUGAUGCCAGUGCCACUUUAUAAACUGGGAAUCAUUAAGCUGGCUACAAAUACCUCGAGGGGUCCUUGCUCGUUCAACAUAAAUCAGUAAAAUGACAGGCAAUUGACUUUGAAGACAGCUCUCAUGCGGCUGAGUGGCUGGAGCUGCUGGAAGCAGAUGAGGCCAUUUUCCUGUAAACAUGCUUUGGAUUAGCACCAGAGUAAACAGCAGAUUGGGCUGUGUCUUCCAGACUCCAGCCUACCCUGGAUCUUUUAUUAGGCAGAAACCAACAUGCCCCUCAGGGCAGGGAAGUUGCCAAUUGGAAGAACUAAGUUUGGAUUUCAACUACUGAUGGGUCUAAAAUUCUUGCUUGGGGCCAUAUGGAGUGGAUAAGCCGGGAGGAAAUGAUACCGGCCUCUGUUUCUGCUCAACUCUCUCCACUGGGUCAGUGGACCCUUUGAAGUAGCCCUUUCUUUACCUCAGAUUCUGACAUGAAUAACUGAUCACCUUCCAGUCUACACAAGAUAAGGAGCCGUGGCUCAAAACUGCAACUCUCUUAAGUAUAUGAGAGCCAGACCACCCAGGGCACUGUUCCAAGAAGGGAGAGAAUUUCCCACAUGUGUUCAGCAUUUUAUUCUUCCCCCAACACUUGGCUCUGUAUUACUGUGUUUAAAUUGGAUAAUGUCUACAUGAAAGGGCUAUGUCAAUGGUAUCAGUAACAAAAAAGAUGCCACCCACCUGGGGAUGUCAAGAGAGAAAAUAUAGGGUGCUAGACAAAUGGCUCUGUGGCUAAGAGCACUGGCUGCUCUUACAGACAACCAAGGUUUCGUCCCCAGCACCCACAUGGGUGCUCAAAACCAUCUGUAAUUCCAGCUCCAGGGGAUCUGGCACCCUCUCCUGGUCUCUGUUGACACUGCAAGUACACAGUGCCCAUACAUAUAUGCAAACAAACACUUUCACACAUAAAAUAAAAAUAAGGAAAGCCAGGGUGGGUUCAGAGGGAGAAUAUGAAUGAGAAUACGACAAGUCCACUCUUGAAGGUUCUGUCUGGUGUCACUUGUGGCUCUAGACUGGCCACCAAAAAUGCUCCAGGCUGCUGACUAAGAGGGCAGGUUAUAUUUAUAACCAGAGAGAAGGAAAUUAGGUGAAGAAAUUGGAUUGAGGUAGCCACUGUUUGAUUGGUCACAGAUGUGUCUGUCUUAUUUGAACUUCUUGCUGGCUGCUGGUGACAGGCCAAGGCUCUGUGAUUUGUUACAAGGUAGGUUCCACAUCACGCUAGGCUGCAGUUGAGUAUUUGUGCAGAAACCUUUGACCAAACUUAAAAAUACAACCCUGUGCUGGCUAGUUUAAUGUCAGCUAGACACAGGCUAGAGUCAUCAGGGAGGAGGGAAGCUCCAUUGAGAAGAUGCCUCCAUAAGAUCAAGCUGUAGGCAAGCCUGUUGGACAUUUUCCUAAUUCAUGAAGGAUAGCCCAGCCCAUUGUGGGUGGUGCCAUCCCUGGGCUGGUGGUCCUGGGUUCUAUAAGAAAACAGGCUGAGUAAGCCAUGAGGAGCAAGCCAGUGAGCAGCUCCCCUCCAUGGCCUC